ACUUCUUUAGCUUAGCUGGUGGAGCGUCACCGUACAAAGCCGAGGUCGUGGGUUCAAUUUUCGCAAGCAGUC
rnacentral:tRNA from 1 species